AAAGUUUUGCAAUUGAUAUCUCCAUCUCCAUUCAUUACACUCACACACGCUUACACUCUCAAUCUCACACAGCUGCUUUCAAUCUCAGUCUCACACACUGAACUCGUCUGGAUUUUGAAAGAAUUACUGCCUUCGAGCUCGGAGCUUAAUUUUCUUCUUUAAUUAAGGUGUGCUUUCCUUUACUUCCUCGCUCCCUUUGAGUAUGAAUAUGGUAAUGAUGCUAUAGACUAAAUAAUAAAAAGUUGAAUGCGAAAAAGGGCUUAAUUUGAUCUUUUAAUGUCAAACAACAGUAACAAUGGCUGCUCUCUUAUUUGGCCUAUGAUGCGAGGACGAGAAAUAUAGGAGUAUUUCUUUGUAACUAGUUUUUUAGGUAAUUUUAAUUUUCUCUUCCUUUUUAAUUUUCUUUUUCAUUUAAAUACGGCAAAUUAUACAUGUAGGACUUGUUUAAUAUUUAUGUAUUUUUAUACUAAUGUCAUUCUAAUUUUUUCAAUAAUUUAUUUUUCAUAUAUAAAGAAACACAAAUACUAUAUUAUUUUUAUGAUACUAUUUAAAAUUUUUUCAAUAUUUGAUUUUCAACUGUUAAGCUCUAUGCGACAAUCUUCCACAUCACCCUGAGAAUGUUUGUUGUUAUCUCCUUAUCCAGAGGAUGAGUUGGGAUUGCUACUUUGCAAUUGUUGAUGACUUAGUAAACAAUUACCCUUGCCAACAUCGAGAAUUGGCUCGCUGUUUAUAUGUUUAUCGAUUGUCUAGGCCGAUACUCCUAUGAUUUAUUUCAAACUUCAUUUAAUAAUAGGUUAUUGUAUUGGUGAUCAAAUUAUAUAAGAUUAAUUACUCAAAACCAAUGUCUUUUUAUCU